rnacentral:rRNA from 1 species
UAUUGGGCGUAAGAGCUCGUAGGCGGUUUGUCGCGUCUGCUGUGAAAGCCCGGGGCUUAACCCCGGGUGUGCAGUGGGUACGGGCAGACUUGAGUGCAGUAGGGGAGACUGGAAUUCCUGGUGUAGCGGUGAAAUGCGCAGAUAUCAGGAGGAACACCGAUGGCGAAGGCAGGUCUCUGGGCUGUUACUGACGCUGAGGAGCGAAAGCAUGGGGAGCGAACAGGAUUAGAUACCCUGGUAGUCCAUGCCGUAAACGUUGGGCACUAGGUGUGGGGAACAUUCCACGUUUUCCGCGCCGUAGCUAACGCAUUAAGUGCCCCGCCUGGGGAGUACGGCCGCAAGGCUAAAACUCAAAGGAAUUGACGGGGGCCCGCACAAGCGGCGGAGCAUGCGGAUUAAUUCGAUGCAACGCGAAGAACCUUACCAAGGCUUGACAUACACCGGACCGGGCCAGAGAUGGUCUUUCCCCCUUGUGGGGCUGGUGUACAGGUGGUGCAUGGUUGUCGUCAGCUCGUGUCGUGAGAUGUUGGGUUAAGUCCCGCAACGAGCGCAACCCUCGUUCUAUGUUGCCAGCACGUGAUGGUGGGGACUCAUAGGAGACUGCCGGGGUCAACUCGGAGGAAGGUGGGGAUGACGUCAAAUCAUCAUGCCCCUUAUGUCUUGGGCUUCACGCAUGCUACAAUGGCCAGUACAAUGGGUUGCGAUGCCGUGAGGUGGAGCUAAUCCCAAAAAGCUGGUCUCAGUUCGGGAUCGUGGUCUGCAACUCGACCACGUGAAGUCGGAGUCGUUAGUAAUCGCAGAUCAGCAACGCUGCGGGUGAAUACGUUCCCGGGGCCUUUGUACACACCGCCCGUCAAGUCACGAAAGUUGGUAACACCCGAAGCCGGUGGCCUAACCCUUGUGGGGGGAGCCGUCCAAAGGUGGGACUGGCCAUUGGGGACAAGUCUUACCAGGGUACCCG